rnacentral:rRNA from 1 species
UUACAAUGGCAGGUACAGAGGGAUGCUACCGGGCGACCGGAUGCGGAUCUCGAAAGCCUGUCCCAGUUCGGACUGGAGUCUGCAACCCGACUCCACGAGGUUGGAUUCGCUAGUAAUCGCGCAUCAGCCAUGGCGCGGUGAAUACAUUCCCGGGCCUUGUACACACCGCCCGUCAAGCCAUGGGAGCCGGGGGCGCCUGAAGUCCGGGACCGCGAGGACCGGCCUAGGGCGAAACUGGUAACUGGGGCUAAGUCGUAACAAGGUAAC